rnacentral:miRNA from 2 species
CAAAAACUGCAGUUACUUUUGC